UACGGAGGAUGCAAGCGUUAUCCGGAAUUAUUGGGCGUAAAGCGUCCGCAGGUGGCAAUUCAAGUCUGCUGUCAAAGGUUCUGGCUCAACCAGAAACAGGCAGUGGAAACUGAACAGCUAGAGUGCGGUAGGGGCAGAGGGAAUUCCCAGUGUAGCGGUGAAAUGCGUAGAGAUUGGGAAGAACACCGGUGGCGAAAGCGCUCUGCUAGACCGUAACUGACGCUGAUGCACGAAAGCUAGGGGAGCAAACAGG
rnacentral:rRNA from 1 species